GUGCCAGCAGCCGCGGUAAUACGGAGGGUGCAAGCGUUGUUCGGAAUUACUGGGCGUAAAGCGGGUGUAGGCGGCCUCGCAAGUCAGGUGUGAAAUCCCUGGGCCCAACCCAGGAACUGCAUUUGAUACUGCUUGGCUCGAGUCCCGGAGAGGAUGGCGGAAUUCCAGGUGUAGAGGUGAAAUUCGUAGAUAUCUGGAGGAACACCAGCGGCGAAGGCGGCCAUCUGGACGGUGACUGACGCUCAGACCCGAAAGCGUGGGGAGCAAACAGGAUUAGAUACCCCCGUAGUCC
rnacentral:rRNA from 1 species